rnacentral:rRNA from 1 species
AGUAACGCGUAGGUAACCUGCCUUGUAGCGGGGGAUAACUAUUGGAAACGAUAGCUAAUACCGCAUAACAAUGGGUGACACGUGUCAUUUAUUUGAAAGGGGCAAUUGCUCCACUACAAGAUGGACCUGCGUUGUAUUAGCUAGUAGGUGAGGUAACGGCUCACCUAGGCGACGAUACAUAGCCGACCUGAGAGGGUGAUCGGCCACACUGGGACUGAGACACGGCCCAG